rnacentral:sRNA from 1 species
GGAUGUGAAGAACAUCUGGCUGGGACACCUGUUACCCACUGGUGAUCAAAUUUGAUUGGUUGAUCUGACUGGAUAGGAGGUGUGCCCAUCCCCCCUCCAUCCCAUGUUUGCCUCCCUGCAGCUGCAACUGUUGAAGAACACAGCCGGGCGUGGUGGCGCACGCCUUUAAUCCCAGCACUCAGGAGGCAGAGGUAGGAGGAUCGCCGUGAGUUCGAGGCCACCCU